CCAAUAUGGUGGUGCUUUGGUUCCCCCGGACAGACUCGGGGGCGAAGAGGGAAGCCGGUGAAAAUCUGGCGCUGCCCCCGCAACUGUAAGCGGCGAGUCGCGGUUCAAACCCACUGGUGAAUCAACACCGGGAAGGCGAACCACCGGCGCUCGAGCCGUAAAGUCAGGAGACCUGCCAGAGCACGAGUGACGAC
rnacentral:ncRNA from 2 species